AGUCCCAGUCAGGACACAGCAUGGACAUGAGGGUCCCCGCUCAGCUCCUGGGGCUCCUGCUGCUCUGGCUCCCAGGUGCCAGGUGUGACAUCCAGAUGACCCAGUCUCCAUCCUCCCUGUCUGCAUCUGUAGGAGACAGCGUCACCAUCACGUGCAGAGCCAGUCAGGGUAUUAGCAACUGGUUAGCCUGGUAUCAGCAGAAACCAGGGAAAGCCCCUAAGCUCCUGAUCUAUAAGGCAUCCAGUCUGCAAAGUGGGAUUCCCUCUCGGUUCAGUGGCAGUGGAUCUGGGACAACUUACACUCUCACCAUCAGCAGCCUGCAGCCUGAAGAUUUUGCAACUUAUUACUGUCAACAGAGUUACAGUACCCCUCCCACAGUGUUACAAGUCAUAACAUAAACCCCCAAGGAAGCAGAUGUGUGAGGCUGGGCUGCCCCAGUGCUCCUUCUGGUGCCUCCAUCUGCUGAGGGAAGUUCUCAAACUCAGUCAGGUUUGGAAAGGCAUUGGGAGAUUUUCCUAGAGGAGGCCAGGGAGGUCCCUCUGAACCCUUAGCCUCUUUCCCCCUCAUCCCCAGCAGAAAAGACUUGACAGUGCCUGUCCUGGCAGAAUAAAGAAGAGAGAGAAGUCCAACUGAGGAGUCUGUGUUAUGGGAUAAUUGGAGUUUGUACAGCAAAAGAGAAGCUAUUCUCAGUAUUUCAAGGAGAAAUUAUUCAAGUUGAAUAAAUUAGAGU